rnacentral:rRNA from 1 species
GGAAUAUUGGACAAUGGGCGAAAGCCUGAUCCAGCCAUGCCGCGUGUGUGAAGAAGGUCUUCGGAUUGUAAAGCACUUUAAGUUGGGAGGAAGGGUAGUAACUUAAUACGUUGCUACUUUGACGUUACCUACAGAAUAAGAACCGGCUAACUUCGUGCCAGAAGCACCGGUAAUACGAAGGGUGCACGCGUUAAUCGGAAUUACUGGGCGUAAAGCGCGCGUAGGUGGUUCAGUAAGUUGGAAGUGAAAUCCCCGGGCUCAACCUGGGAACUGCUUUCAAAACUGCUGAGCUAGAGUACGGUAGAGGGUGGUGGAAUUUCCUGUGUAGCGGUGAAAUGCGUAGAUAUAGGAAGGAACACCAGUGGCGAAGGCGACCACCUGGACUGAUACUGACACUGAGGUGCGAAAGCGUGGGGAGCAAAC